UAAUUGUCAGCUAACGGGAUUUCUCUGUCACUGAGCUCGUGCUCUAGGCUUUUGUGGAAGAGGCUGAGCAGGAUCUCGUUCGGCAGACAGGGGGAGCUGUGAAUCUCCUCCACAUUCUCCAUCGCUGAGGACAAAAAGUACCUGUACUGAAUGUAAGGAAGAGGAGUUCAACCUGCUGGCAUUUUGGGAGUAGCUGAAUAAGGUCAAACUGAAAUGGGAUCAUGUGAACGUUGUCCUCAGAGGCCAGAGCUUCUCCUGCAUGAACAGAAGAAACCCUUUAAGCUACUGUGAAUGAAUCCUAACACAAUACCUGAACUACAAACUGUCUUCCAUGGAUAAAGCUGAUGCUGUGAAAAACCCUAUGUAUAUACAGACAACUGUGAAUGACAUUUCACAAAUUGUCAAGAUACAUGUGAAAACAUGUGUGUACUGCUUAUGUGUUGAUAACUGAUAAUAUGAUUUACUGUAUAUAUUUGAUAUAUAGAUGUGAGAAAAUCCAUUGCAGGCGUUUAACUCAAAGUCAGGCAGCCAGGGUUUGUCCAUCCCAAGUUUCUGAAAUCGGAGUAGGUUCAACUCGCUUCGUAGGACAGGUCUCAGGUUAACACUCCAAAAAACUGUAUUUCUAAUAGUAUGAGCAGAGUGGCUCUGAAACUGGAAUUUCAUGAGAUGUUUGUUAUUGUUGCUGUUGAAUGAUGUUGACUGUUUGCUCUGUUGUAUGUUUCAUGGGUCGUGGCAAUAAAUGUACAUUGUUGUGAAACUGAAUUUUCCACUCCUGGGACAAUAAACAAACUAACAAAUGCCAAGAUGACAGGUACAUUUUAAGUUUGCAUUAACUGAGGAAUGUAGAAUAAAGACCUGUCACACAAA